UGGAAUAUAGCUUAGUGGUAGAGUGCUUGCCAUCAUGUUCAAGGACCUGGGUUCCGUCCCCAGUACCACAA
rnacentral:tRNA from 1 species